rnacentral:rRNA from 1 species
AGUGAACGCUGGCGGUAGGCCUAACACAUGCAAGUCGAACGGCAGCACAGUAAGAGCUUGCUCUUACGGGUGGCGAGUGGCGGACGGGUGAGGAAUACAUCGGAAUCUACUUUUUCGUGGGGGAUAACGUAGGGAAACUUACGCUAAUACCGCAUACGACCUACGGGUGAAAGCAGGGGAUCUUCGGACCUUGCGCGAUUGAGUGAGCCGAUGUCGGAUUAGCUAGUUGGCGGGGUAAAGGCCCACCAAGGCGACGAUCCGUAGCUGGUCUGAGAGGAUGAUCAGCCACACUGGAACUGAGACACGGUCCAGACUCCUACGGGAGGCAGCAGUGGGGAAUAUUGGACAAUGGGCGCAAGCCUGAUCCAGCCAUACCGCGUGGGUGAAGAAGGCCUUCGGGUUGUAAAGCCCUUUUGUUGGGAAAGAAAAGCAGCAGGUUAAUACCCCGCCGUUCUGACGGUACCCAAAGAAUAAGCACCGGCUAACUUCGUG